rnacentral:sRNA from 1 species
CGGCAUUGCAGUGCGGGCCGUGAGGGCUGCGCGGGCGCGGGGAGGCGCGGGCGGCAAACUGCAGGCACCCGGCACCCCGCAGCCAGUACCGGGCGGAGGCGUCAGAGCCGCGCACCGCGGACGAGCAGGCCCAGGCAUCCAGUACCCUGCUGACUCUGACAUGCCCCCAGCCUCCCCCAGCUCUGCAGGGAGCCCUGGUGCCAGAGACCUUCUCCCAUUUCUCCCUAUGGGUGCCUGACCUGAGGGCAGAGACAUCUGAGUGUGUAUAAGCACAGCAGGACACCAGGACCUGGCCUGAAGACAUUUCCUCUCUUCCCCUCUGGACUUCUCAGAGAGGUGCUGUUUGAUCCCUGUCGGACUUGGUGCCCGGCGUCCACCUGCCAAGCUGUGUGUCAGCUCCAGGACGUGGGGCUGCAGACCCCCCAGCCAGUGCAGUGCAAAGCCUGCCGUAUGGAAUUCUGCUCCACCUGCAAAGCCAGCUGGCACCCUGGCCAGGGCUGCCCGGAGACCAUGCCGAUCACCUUCCUCCCCGGGGAGACCAGGUACCCUUUGUACACAAGCUGCCACCAAAGGCAUGGCUGUGGGCCAGGAGAAGCAGGCGUGCUUUCUUCCUAAAAGUGCUGUUACAGUUGCUGCUUUCAAAAUGGAAGAAGAUGACGCGCCCAUCAAGCGCUGCCCCAAGUGCAAAGUCUACAUUGAGCGAGACGAAGGCUGCGCGCAGAUGAUGUGCAAGAACUGCAAGCACGCCUUCUGCUGGUACUGCCUGGAGUCUCUGGACGAUGAUUUCCUUCUGAUACACUACGAUAAGGGACCCUGCCGGAACAAGCUGGGCCACUCCCGGGCAUCGGUGAUCUGGCAUCGGACACAGGUUGUGGGCAUUUUUGCAGGAUUUGGGCUGCU